ensembl:lncRNA
GAAAGUUAACCGAAUGCAAAAAAUAUCAAGAGAAAAAAGAGAAAUGUUCUAUGAUCAUUAAAACCCAAAGGAGUGAUUCCUUCAGUGCUGCCACACCAGUGGAGAUUACAGUUGCAUCUCCUUCCAUACAAGUCACUACAGCGGAGCAGAUCCUCUGGCUGUGUUUCCUGUCAUCAGGUGUCACCCCAGCUAGAUGUCUGCAAGGAAGCGAUCUGCUUCUACCUGGACAAUUUGGCUUACAGUCUGAAUCUAACUUCAGAGAUUUUAAUCAUGGUCACAAAUCAGUAUUCAAUGAAAACAGGGAUGACUGGGCAAUGGGAUGCCAACCACUCCUUUCUCCUAAGCUGAAGAGUAUGGAUGGAGGUUGGUGCUGAGAUUUUUUUUUUUAAAGCACUGUGCUUAGCUUCUUAAUUACUAUAACUUCAGUGGAAAGGCAGAAUAUUUCAAAAAUCUUGUUGACAUCAGUAGGUUUUAGUAAGACCCUAGAUAUUAGUAUGGAGCUAAUAACUACUAAGAAGGGCUAAUGCUGAUGAACUGCUGGCUGAAAAAUAAGGUAAUCAUUAAGGUAUACAAUUGUGUUUGAUUUUGCAGAUUUCAGGUUAAUUUCAUAGGGGAAAUAGGUGUAUGGGGGCAACCUUGUGAACAUGCGCUAGCACCUUCCUUCAAAAGUUUUAAGUCACACACAUGUUACACUAAAUUCUCAGUGAGCAGUGGGGACAAUCAGUGGAUUUGCUUCCAAAUUGCACAGUUACUCUGAACAAAUGCUGAAAUGGAUGCAGUGUUUGGUUCUCCCAAAUGCAGCCUAUGGUGCGUAGACCAAAGCCUGUUGGCGGAUGUAGUGUGCUUUACAUUCUGGAGACCAGACUAUAGCUGAUAAUACCUCUCUGGUUUUACUGGCUGAAGUGCAUCAAAUGUCUUUUUUAUUGGUUCAAGUUGUCUUUUCUAUUGGUUCACUGUGCUGGACAAUGAUAGAUGUUUCCAGUUAGCUGGGAGACAAUCAAGCCAACUCCUUUCCCUGUGGGUUUUAAAAUUCUAUUUACAGUAAUUCCUGAAAGCCAUAAUUGCUGGGGAUUCAUUGUGCAGACCCACAAGGUGUCUUCCCUGUACAGGGAACUUACACAACCAACACUCAGGCCAGUUUAUGCCAACAGUGAGUAAAUCCAUGGCAGAGCCCUGCCUGUGGUGUUGCUUUCUGUGCCAGCCUGUGCACAGCUGGGGACAUCCUAUGCUUGGGGGUCCCUUUCUGCCAACCAGGGGAGAACUCUUCUGUCAUUUGGACAGAAGUUAAGAAACAGAGGAUGAUUGGUACUUAAGUGAUUCUUCCCCUUUCCAUCCUGCCCGUAUUUGUGGUUGAUUUUAGCCUGUUUAAAAGCAAUGCUUGGGCACUAAACUGAACCUCCAGCACCUACAGCUGUGCAGGCUUUUAUGGGUUUAAAGAGCUUUCAGGAUUGCAUUAUCGACUUUGUCUGAGUAGUCAGAGGGUUCAAACUCAAGUGUGGUGACUGUCCACAGGUCAGUGUGAAAUGAAGACAGAUGUGGUCAUAGUCCUUGCCUCAAGGUGUUCAUACUUUGAAACUAGUAAAGGAGCAGGGUUGGGGAACUUGCACGAACCUAACACGGUGAGUCAGCAGCCUGGUUAGACUUAGACCUUGUAUUUUCUGCCUCUUGGCUCCACUAUCUUCACAUCUGCCUAUGCUGUUCUCCUGUCUCUAAAAUCAGCAGAACUAAUCUUUUAAACUGCCUUUUUAAAGCACUAAGACUACAUCCUUUUCUUACACUUCAGUAGUGAGUAUUGAUCAGGUUGUGAGUAGUGCUCAUCUGCUGUGCUUCCCUGUGAUUUUCAAUGUCUGUACUUAGGACUCAGUUACCAGUUCUGUCUCCAUCCUUGAAUAAAGCCGUUGGCAAUGGUUAGCA